AUACGAAAGGUGCGAGCGUUGUUCGGAUUUACUGGGCGUAAAGAGAGUGUAGGUGGUUUAUUAAGUCGGAUGUGAAAUCCCGGGGCUCAACCCCGGAACUGCAUUCGAUACUGGUAGGCUAGAGUUCGGGAGGGGGAUGCGGAAUUCCGUGUGUAGCAGUGAAAUGCGUAGAUAUACGGAGGAACACCUGAGGCGAAGGCGGCAUCCUGGACCGAUACUGACACUGAGACUCGAAAGCGUGGGUAGCAAACAGGAUUAGAAACCCCGGUAGUCC
rnacentral:rRNA from 1 species